CUAAGGAACACUCCUCCUGGUGCAUGAUGUGCUUGCUUUUAGACAGUGGUGGGCCCCAAACCAAAAUGGAGUCACAUGUGCUAACUUUUCCUUAACAGUAGCUUUCACGUCACAGUACACGAGGCACUGGAACUAGUAUCAGUGGAUGCCCUCAGGCAAUGAGCCAUAAGCGCAUCUGUUGCCAGGGGAUGAGGAAACGCUGAGUGACAUUGUAGACGGGCUCAGACCCGAGAGCUCUAAAAACGGGAGGGAGUUGGAGAGCUCUGAAAGCCGCACUCUUGCUGUGCUCGCGCUAGCUGGGGUGCGGUCGCUGUGGGAGGUCCCUUCCAGCGUGAGUUACCUGUUCUCUAGGGCUCGGUGAUCCCAGUUGUGCAGAGAACAUACGUGAACAUAUUUCCUGAGGCAGGGUCUGCAGAGGAUGUUCAUUGCCCUAUUAUGUGCCUUCACCGCCCCCAGAAAGAGUGACUUGCUAGUCCUCUUUCUCCUGGGCAGGAUGGCCAAAGUCCUAUGGCCACCCCAUUUCUAAUCCAGAAAUGUAGCCCCUGGACUAAUGUCCCAGCGAGCAAUGAGCUGAGUGGCCAACUCAUUGUAACUUUUGCCUUCUGGGACCUGCUGCAUCUCCUGUUCGGCUUUCCCUGUGGGAGAAAACCUUGGCUGGGGCCUUUAAACCCCUCUGACUUUCCCCUGCUCUUGCAUCGUAGUUCCUGAGCUCAGGCUGGGCUCUGGCUCGGCCUGCUGGCCUCUAGCACAGCUGCAUGUGUCUCACAGUGAGGAAUUCCUGCCUCCAGCGGGUCCGUGGUCUGGCGUGUGGCAGCUCUGCGGGAUGGCCGGCAGUAAAGGCCAGUCACAAGCCCUGAAUCUUAGUUUCCGAUGGACCGUCUAGAUGCUCAGACUAACACGGCUGCUGCUCUGAAAGGAAUUUUAAGACACGUGCAACCUCCCUGCUGCCAACAGUCUCUCCUUUUGGGGACUGGACUCUGGGUUACAGGCCACCCUGCUGCAGCUUGAGCCUGUGUCAGGGACGUUGGCUGGGGGAAGGGUUUUGAUACGCCAUCUUCACAGUGCCACCUGCGGGCUGAUGGCUGCCAUUGCAGCACUGGAAGUGGCAAAUACAAGUACGUACUGCCUGGAUAAGACCACAGGAGCCUGGCAGAUCAGAGCAUCGAUUUGAAGUUCAGUGUUAGGCUGGAUGGGACACACCUGUCCAGGAUGUGAAUCAUUCAACUCCCUCCUGUGCCAUUUUGUUUUAAACUGUAGCUUCUGGCCUGUUAUUCCACAUUAAAAAGAAAUCUUCCAUGA